AAUGAAGGGAGGGCGGGAUCAGUGAAAACCACGUGAUCAUCCACGAGUGCGGUGCAGAGUCGCUGAGAUAACCGGAACUGCAGAUGCUGGAGAAUCUGAGAUAACACGGUGUGCAGCUGGAUGUACACAGCAGGUCAAGCAGCAUCAGAGGAGCAGGAAAGCUGACGUUUCGGGCCUAGAUCCUUCGCUGAGACCAAGAUUUGUGCAAUUUAGAUACCAGCGAUCGUUGCCAAAGCCCUGUUACCUGUGGAGAAGGUGAUGUUUAACUUUCGUGUGCUACUGCAGUUUGUAUGAUAAAGGUGCUCUCACAAUGCUCCAUUUGAGAAGUUACAGAUCAUUCAUCCAGCGAUACUGAAGAGCUACUGAAGAGCUAAUGGUGAUAUUACAAGUGGACUUUCAGGUAGGAAGCUCAAUUGUAACACCAAACUCUGACAGAAUUACUCAAUUCAUCAGGACCUGGAUAUUCCCAUUGUGUAUUUCCACAAUUUUACUUCUGCACUAUUCUUAGUCUUUCAGAGGGAUCGAAAGGUUGAGUUACAGAUCUAUACAAUGACUGUCCUUCCUCGCUGGCUCCCCCACCUCUCUCUUUUGGUAGUUUUAUGCAAACACUGACUGGAUCCCUUACCUGGAGGAUAUUUAUGAAUGAAUUUGUUCUAAUGGUGAUCCAGCAUUUUCCCCAAGUAUCGCUCCACACAUGCCCAGAGAAUUUCUCAGUUUCACAAUCUGUGUCCUUCUGGUUUCUUACUCGCUACGCUUAACUUUCUGUUUGAAAGUAUAGUCUGCAGUUGGAGAAUUUAAACAGGUCCACAUCCAGGUCUGACAGUCACUUUGUUUAUCACAACCCAAUUAUCUCAGGAUUUUGAACAAUGAAGGAAAAAGCAGCACUCACAUUGGGGAGAAAUGCACAUGGUGUGUGUGUUGAAGAGUCUGUGAAGAUUCAUCUGAAAUGUCCGAACACCAGUGCAGUGACACUGGGAGACAGUGUGGAAAUGUGCAGAUUGCAGGAAGGAAUUUCUCAUCCAUCCCAGCUAGAAACUGACCACCAGAGUCACACUGGAGAGAGACCAUUGACCUGUUCUGCAUGAGGGAAAGGCUUUGCUGAUUCGAAUUCCCCGCUGAUACACCAGCGAGUUCACUCUGGGGAGAGACCUUUCAUGAGCUCUGAGUGUGGGAAGGGAUUCAUUGUCAUCCAAACUGUUAACACACCAGUGAGUUCACAGACAACCACAGUUGAAGAACUUUGCUGUCACUCUCACUAUCAAAUGAACCAUGGUUUUGGGCUGUUUGUACAGAUGUUACCGAUCCCUGCUCAAUUAAAGGUGCUGGUAUUGUGAAUAAAAUGUCACACUAA